rnacentral:lncRNA from 1 species
AUAACCACAAAAGGAAGGUUGGGAUUGAUUUUGGAAGUUUUGGUCCCAACAUUUUAGGAAUUAGGGGCCAAAAAGGGCCCAAAUAAGCAUUUUCUUGGUUUUCGCACUAUAACUUUAGUAUAAGUAGAUAUAAAUCUAUGAAAUUUUGACACAAGGUUUAUGACCACAAAAGAAAGGUUGGGAUUGAUUUUGAGAGUUUUGGUUUCAACAGUUUAGGAAUUAGGGGCCAAAAAAGGGCCCAAAUAAGCAUUAUUCUUGGUUUUCGCACAAUAACUUUAGUAUAAGUAAAUAGAAAUCAAUGAAAUUUAAACACAAGGUUUAUGACCACAAAAGGAAGGUUGGGAUUGAUUUUGAGAGUUGAGGUCCGAGCAGUUUAGGAAUUAGGGGCCAAAAAGGGGCCCAAA